ACACCCGUUAGGGGUACACCUGAGAAACCCGAAAGGUCGAAGGGAGAAAUUCAUUCGCGUUUCGCCGUUGGCGUGAGACGGUCGUGUGACGGAAAACGUUCGCGUUUUCCGCACCUUUCGUUUUUCGAUCCGAUAGCGAACGCGUGCACUUUUCUCCUGGUAGGACGUCGCGAUCCGUUGGGUGUCGGUCUACGGCUCGCGGUGGAGCCCGAAUGUACGGCUUGCCGUUACGUUCGGACCCGUGUGUCCCGGCUGACUCGCUCGACGGUAUACGAAAGGUUUAAGGCCGCUCUUUGAGCGUUCGGCUCGUCGCAAGCGCGUCAGAUGUGUCGGUAAUCGGACCUAGUGCCGGUUCUGACCUCUGGCGACUGUUGGCGGCGAAGUUCUCGAACAGACCUUCGACCGAUCUGCGACGCUAUAGCUUUGGGUACUUUCAGGACCCGUCUUGAAACACGGACCAAGGAGUCUAGCAUGUGCGCAAGUCAUUGGGAAUCACUAAACCUAAAGGCGCAAUGAAAGUAAAGGUCCGCCUUGCGCGGACUGAGGGAAGACGAGCGGUUUACCCUUAAAAGUGGCCGCUCCGCAUUCCCGGGGCGUCUCAUUCUCAUCGCGAGAAGAGGCGCACCAAGAGCGUACACGCUGGGACCCGAAAGAUGGUGAACUAUGCCUGGUCAGGACGAAGUCAGGGGAAACCCUGAUGGAGGUCCGUAGCGAUUCUGACGUGCAAAUCGAUCGUCGGAACUGG
rnacentral:rRNA from 1 species